rnacentral:rRNA from 1 species
CGCGUAGGCGGUUUGAUCAGUCAGAUGUGAAAUCCCCGGGCUCAACCUGGGAACUGCAUUUGAUACUGUUAGACUAGAGUAUGUUAGAGGAAAGCGGAAUUCCGGGUGUAGCGGUGAAAUGCGUAGAUAUCCGGAGGAACAUCAGUGGCGAAGGCGGCUUUCUGGAACAAUACUGACGCUGAGGUGCGAAAGCGUGGGUAGCGAACAGGAUUAGAUACCCUGGUAGUCC